GUGCCAGCAGUCGCGGUAAUACGUAGAAGACGAGUGUUAUUCAUCUUUAAUAGGUUUAAAGGGUACCUAGACGGCAUAUUAAGCCUUAGUUGGGACUGGUUUGCUAGAGUUACUUAUGAGGAAGUUUUAAUGUACUAGAGGUGAAGAGAUGAAAUUCUGUCAUACCUUUUUUCUUACGAAAAAUUUCGGCACAGGUAUAGGUGAAAACAUCUUCUUAUGGGAUAACUGACGUUGAGGGACGAAGGCUUUUUAUCGCGAACAGGAUUAGAUACCCUGGUAGUCAAAGCAGAAAAUGAUGAGUGUCAUAGAUUAGAUCUAGUUUAUUCUAUAAAUGAAAGUGUAAGCACUCCACCUCAAGAGUAAUUUGGCAACAUUGGAACUGAAAUCAUUAGACCGUGUCUGAAACCAGUAGUGAAGUAUGUUAUUUAAUUUGAUAAUCCGCAAAAAACCUUACCACAACUUGAAUGUUUAUUUACUUACUUUUAUUACAUGUUUUGUGAGCAAUCCUGUAUAUAAUCUAGGUUGCUCUUUAAGCAAUCGUGUUUAUAGAUGAAAUUAAAUAGGUACAAGUGUUGCACGGCUGUCUUCAGUUAAUGUCGUCAGACUAUGGUUAGCUCCAGUAAAUUAACGUAAACCCUUGCUCUAGUUUUAAGUAGAGUAGUUCUCCGCUAUAUUGGAUAAGAUAACAGGGAUCAAGACAAGUCAUCAUGGCCUUAAUGUUGUGGGCUAUAGACGUGCCACGUGAGCCUUUACAAAAGGAUG
rnacentral:rRNA from 1 species